AGUGAACGCUGGCGGUAGGCCUAACACAUGCAAGUCGAACGGCAGCACAGGAGAGCUUGCUCUCUGGGUGGCGAGUGGCGGACGGGUGAGGAAUACAUCGGAAUCUACUCUGUCGUGGGGGAUAACGUAGGGAAACUUACGCUAAUACCGCAUACGACCUACGGGUGAAAGCAGGGGACCUUCGGGCCUUGCGCGAUUGAAUGAGCCGAUGUCGGAUUAGCUAGUUGGCGGGGUAAAGGCCCACCAAGGCGACGAUCCGUAGCUGGGCUGAGAAGAUGAUCAGCCACACUGGAACUGAGACACGGGCCAGACUCCUACGGGAGGCAGCAGUGGGGAAUAUUGGACAAUGGGCGCAAGCCUGAUCCAGCCAUACCGCGUGGGUGAAGAAGGCCUUCGGGUUGUAAAGCCCUUUUGUUGGGAAAGAAAUCCAGCUGGCUAAUACCCGGUUGGGAUGACGGUACCCAAAGAAUAAGCACCGGCUAACUUCGUGCCAGCAGCCGCAGUAA
rnacentral:rRNA from 1 species